ensembl:lncRNA
GCUCAAACCAAGAAAACAGCAACACAACAAAGUGUGAUGCUCAAAAAUCAAAUUUAAAAAAUCCCCCAAUUAUAUGGAAUCUAGAGAUUGGCUAGACCGUCCAUAAGGACAUGCUGUUUUUUGUUCUUGUUUUCGUUUGCGGUUUAUUUUUUAAAUUUCUAAUCCAUUGUGGACCGCUAUGUUUUUGUAAAAUACAAUAUAAAUGAGUUACUAAAUAAAAUUUUAAUUAAUUAAUUACUUUUUUGGUUGGCGCCCUCCAGGUGUGGGAUCAGAAUUCCCCAACCAGGGAUGGAACGCACACCCCCGGCAUUAGAAGGUGCAGUCCUAACCACGGAGCCGCCAGGGAAGUCCCACUAAACACUUGUUAAAAGACAUAAAGCUCCAAUCCAAAUAUCUUAACACCAGACCUUUGUAGGCUACCUCCUUUAUGUUCAGCAUGUAUGAAAUGAUUUCGUUUUUUAUAUGCAGCUGCUAUAAAAGUCUGUCUUUCUUUUCGAAGUCUGUAUUUAUCUCUCUGCUUAGCCCUGAGACGUAGGUGGGAUAAACGCUCCAGAGUUUCACGCGCCGGACGCCUGGAUGGCUGCCUCCCCCGAACCCUUGCCCCGCAUCAUCCGGCCAAGCAUCCCCUCUGGAGCAUGCGCCGUCCAUUCCUGCGAUCUGGCCUGCGGAGGUCCCUCCUCUCCGGCCUUUCAAGCAGAGACCUUCAUCUGACCCUGCCCGGCUACUGGGCAAGGCUCCGUUGCCCUGUGACACUGAAGGGCGAGGGAGCCACAGAGGGCUCAAGAGUCCCUGAGCAUCAGGGUUUACCGGAUGCGUGGUGUGAACUAGGCUCCAAAUGAAGAGCCUGGGAGGAGGGCCUCCGUCGCCUCGGUUACCCAGGUGGUUCCCAUCCCAAGCCUCUCCUUCAGCCCCCACAGAAAUGCGGAGUGGGGCUUCUCCUGGGAACGGUGGUCAGGGCUGCAAUGCCCGGACCUGGCUCUGCCACGCUCCAUGCUUCUGCUGAUGCACAGCGCCUGCCAGCGCAUCCUCUCCCUGCGCAUUCAUCAGGACCCACACCCAGGAACACACCCAGCUGCACCUUGUUUGAAAAAGAAAAAAGAGCUGCUGUAUGAAUCCCGCUUAGAAAACAGCUGAACCAGGCAAAUCUCUGCAGCACCUUUGAACUUUGGCUUAAGAAGUGAAGGAGACUUGAACUCUGCCAUAUCUAUGACCAGAGGCCCUCCAGGCUCCUCUGUCCAUGGGAUUCUCCAGCCAAGAAUAUGGGAGUGGGUUGCUAUAACCUCCUUCAGGAGAUCUUCCCAACCCAGGGAUUGAACCCAGGUCUCCUGCCUUGCAGGGGAUCUUUCUGACCCAGGGAUUGAACCUGCAUCUCCUGACAGGCAGAUUUUUUUACCACUGAGCCAUCAGGGAAACCCCCAGGAACAAUGGGAAACAAGCUCAUGAAGAGUGACUGUGGUGUCCAGACAAGGUACAAGUUCCGGCUGCAACAAAAAAAAUGUUCCAUAGGGUUGUAGUCAAAGUGUCAGCUCAACUGAGAAAAGAUCGACUUCCACGUUUAUGCCGUUGUUGGCAGCAUCCAGUUCCUCGCAAGCUGCCAGCCUGAGCCUUAGUUUCUUGUUGGCUGUGACUAGAAGUUACCUUCAGCUCUCUGCUGUGUGCAUGGUACUCUCCAUAUCAAAGCUUAUCGCAUGGCAGAUUGUUUAUUCAAAACCGACAAGGAAGAGAAAGUUUCCUACCAAGAUGAGUUAAAUGCCUUGUAAAAUGAGAUCACAUUCAGGAAAUGAAAUAUUUAAUACAUUCCUUCACCUUUGCCAUGCUCUUAGUUGGAAGCUAUUCACAGUCCUAUGCACCAAGGGAGAGGCUCACACAAGGGUGCAGAACAGGAGGCAAGGAUCAUGGGACCACUCUAGACACUGUCCACCAACUGAGUGGUGCUCCAGCCUUCUCUUCUCUUUCCCUGGCAACCUGACCCUACAAGAUGGCUCAUAAAAUGGAAGAAACAAAGGUGGAUGCAUAUUAGAUCUUCAGUUACCACUUGGAAUAAAGUUGUCCUGAAGGGUGACCUCAUCCACAGUGGAUUUUGACUAAGCAAGAAAUUUGAGAACUUUUAUAGUCUGACUUUAGAAAGAGAAGAAAACCUUAACCUGAUCC